rnacentral:rRNA from 1 species
AUGGCGCUCGGGCAACUCAUCGCGUGCAUGUUCCUCCUCCUGGCCGUCGCCGUCGCUGCCGGGCAAAGCCCAGUGCAGCCUCAGGACCUUGUCGGCCGCAUCCAGGCGAGCUGCUCCAACACGCUGAAUGAGGUGCCGGACGAGUGCGCGCACCAGUUCAUCGGGGCCAUCCUCAGCGGCCGCACCGUGGAGACGAACCCCAUCACCUCGCACUGCUGCAUCAAGCUCGCCUGCGUCCGCGAGUGGUCGUGCAAGGACCUGCUCCGCGGCGUCUGCUUGCCCCCUGAGGUGGGCCAAUGCCCGCCGCCCGUCGUCGAACCUGUGUCGGCAGUCGGCAGGCACCACGACUAG